rnacentral:rRNA from 1 species
UACAGAGGUCUCAAGCGUUGUUCGGAUUCAUUGGGCGUAAAGGGUGCGUAGGCGGCGCGGUAAGUCGGGUGUGAAAUCUCGGAGCUUAACUCCGAAACUGCAUUCGAUACUGCCGUGCUUGAGGACUGGAGAGGAGACUGGAAUUUACGGUGUAGCAGUGAAAUGCGUAGAUAUCAGGAGGAACACCGAUGGCGAAGGCAGGUCUCUGGGCUGACACUGACGCUCAUGCACGAAAGCGUGGGGAGCGAACAGG